rnacentral:rRNA from 1 species
UACGUAGGGGGCAAGCGUUGUCCGGAAUCAUUGGGCGUAAAGAGCGCGUAGGCGGCCCUGUAAGUCCGCUGUGAAAGUCAAGGGCUCAACCCUUGAAUGCCGGUGGAUACUGCAGGGCUAGAGUCCGGAAGAGGCGAGUGGAAUUCCCGGUGUAGCGGUGAAAUGCGCAGAUAUCGGGAGGAACACCGAUGGCGAAGGCAGCACUCUGGGCCGGCACUGACGCUGAGGAGCGAAAGCGUGGGGAGCGAACAGG